rnacentral:lncRNA from 9 species
CUCUUGGCAUGGUCUGGGUACAAAGUACGCCUUCCAUGAAUUUGAAUUUCCUUUCCUCCUCCAUCUCCUUGUUGAUUAAGAAUGUAUCUUCAUGAAAGACACAAUGGAUCUCUUGACUCUAAUUCCAUUCUCUUUCAGAGCACGUGGAAAUUGAUGCCAUGUGGGCUUAAUAAGAGAUCAAAUAGUUCCUUAAAUGUCCCAAGGCAGCAGUCCUGUCCCUGGAGCCUGGGGCGGCCCCUGUGAUGGGGCCUGCGCUGCCUGGGGCUCUGGGCCCCUCUUCUCCCAGCCUCCUGCAGUCACCCGGCUGCUGAGUGGCCGAGCCCGGCCUCCGACCUAGGCCCUCUGAAUGCAGACCUGAUGCUCUCUGUGCUGUGUCUUCCCCCAACUCUCACCUCUACCCACUGCUGUACCCGCACAUGGGCACAGAGGAUCCAGCAAAAGGUGGAUGCAGCUACUAAGCAGCCACUCCCAUUCUACACAUGUUGGACCCCCCAGAGCACUGUGUGUGCUUUGGAAAGAGCCUGGGAUUCUUGCUUUCUGAGCCCACUCUGAGAAGCCUUCUCAGAUUCCGUUUUGCCUGACUUGAUUCUAAUAAUGAAAUUCUCAAGUUUCUCAGCUAUCAAAAGUGGAGAAUAAACUAAGGAUGUGCUGGCCAUCUUGGAUUUGUCUCUGUAAGGAAGAGGUUCUCUUUAUUUGAUUGUGUUUCUUGUACUUUAGCCCUCGGAGUGGACAGCUGAAAGAGAACUUUGAGAUCAUUGGAUCUAGCCUCUUCAUUUUAUAGUCCAUGUAGAUGAAUGGCUAAGAAAGGAAGGUCUGGUGUCUUAUUGCUGGGUUUAAAUCUUGGUCCCAUCACUUUGAAGCUGCAUGACUUUGGACGUAUCACUCAACCUCUUUGAACAGUUAUAAUAAU